rnacentral:rRNA from 1 species
UACAGAGGGUGCAAGCGUUAAUCGGAAUUACUGGGCGUAAAGCGUGCGUAGACGGUUCCGUAGUCGGGUGUGAAAGCCCCGGGCUCAACCUGGGAAUUGCAUUCGAGACUGCGAAGCUAGGGUGCGGAAGAGGGAAGCGGAAUUUCUGGUGUAGCGGUGAAAUGCGUAGAUAUCAGAAGGAACAUCAGUGGCGAAAGCGGCUUCCUGGUCCAGCGCCGACGUUCAAGCACGAAAGCGUGGGGAGCAAACAGG